CACCAAAAAAAAAAAAAGAACAGAAUUAAAAAAAAAUUAAACUAUAGUAAUGUGCUGUUGGAUAUAACUAUUCCCUGAAUAACCAAACAAGAUGCUGAGCAAUUGUAGGAAAGAAGAAUAUCCCCACAAUUGGUUCCUUCGGAGCCUCUGAGAUGGAAGUCCCUUGAGCAUGAAGUCACUGGAUGGGUGUGAAUCCCCUCCCACCAUGGGAGGUGCGUCCCUGGAAGGGUGUCUGGAAAGCAGGGACAGCUGGUCACGGCCUAGCACUUACAGUGGUGUGAUUUGGAUAUGGAAACAGUGUCAGGCUGAGCAAUCAAAGACGACCCCACAGCGAGACACCUGCAAGGACUACACCUGUUCCCCCCAGGCAGAGGAGAUGGCAGAAAAGACAGACUUCAUCAAAUAUGAGGUGGAGGGAGGGGCUGGGCUGUGGCUCAGUGGUAGAGUGCUUGCCUGGCAUGUGAG
rnacentral:lncRNA from 1 species